AUAAUAAAAAAAACCUUUGGAAAUCCACGGGUCGACCGUUGGAUUUCUAACGGCUAAUAUUAAAUAAGGUUCUUUUAACGGCAACAAUUUUUGAGAUUAAUGGUCCAAGUUAUUCGCCUUUAUAAAUUAAAAAAAAUAGUUUUAAAAAUCAGAAAUGUUACUGUUGUGCCGAGUGGCACAAUCUAGAGUGUUAGAAUUCAAAUUUUUUUUAAUCCAAUGGCAAAGAUUAAUUAGUUGAAUAAUUUUUUUUUAAAUGUAAAAAAUGAAUAAAAAUCUGAAAAAAAAAAUUGAAUUUACUUUUCUAUAAAUACCUUCUCAUUAUCUUCUACCUUACACCACAAUUUCAUAUUUUCUCAACUACUUUCAACCACAUUCCUAUCUUUCUCUCAAAGUUUCAAUCCAAUUUUUUUCCAACAAAAUGACUAAUGAUGCAGGUACGAAUUGGACGCUUCUUGAAUAUGUUGCGUUGUGUACUAGCCGGGUUGAAGUUACUCAUAAUUCGCUUACGGGUAAUGAGAUGCAGUUGCGAGAAAUGUGAAGUCUUAUUCAUACCAAUUAUCUUGAGAAAAUGGGUGGGAAAAGAACCAAAGAAUCGAUGUCCAGUUAUUAGAAAUUAUUUAGCCAAUCGUUUAGUACGUGAAGAGACGCCUUGACAUAAGCUAGUGCUAAUCUUCGAAGUGGGAAAAAUUUAGUGGAUAAUGUAACAAUAUAUUAUAUAUUUGUUUGUAUUAUUCAAUAGUUAGCUACUUUCAUUAUAAUUAUUUGUUUGUAUUAUUUAUUUGUUACCUACUUUCAUUAUAAUUAUUUGUUUGUAUUAUUAAUUGUUAGCGACUUUCAUUAUAAUUAUUUGUUUGUAUUAUUUAAUUGUUACCUACUUUGAUUAUAAUUAUUUGUUUGUAUUAUUUAUUUGUUACCUACUUUGAUUAUAAUUAUUUGUUUUUAUUAUUUAUUUGUUACUUACUUUCAUUAUAAUUAUUUCUUCUCCCGCAUUGUGUAGGAACUUCAAGCACAAGCUUGGUAUAAUGCCAAAACCAAAAGCAAAAACAAAUCAUUCACCCGGUGGGAAUGUUGGAAUAUUGUCAAAGAUUGUCCUAAAUUUAGAGUUGUCUCUGUCGGUCCAAAAGUUUUCAUGAACAGCACCCUUUUACACUUUACACCCGAUCAUGCCUCGCAUGUUCAUGAAGAUGACCUAGAAGAAGUGUCCGAAAUGGCCCCCCUGAACAAGUGUCGGGGUCAACCCGUUAUCCAAUUAGGCCUCAAGGUAAAAAGGCUUCAAAGAGAAAAGGGAGUGCUUUCAAGAAUGAUUAUGCAAAGUAUAUGGAAGAACUUGCUCGCCAAGGUGAAAUGACUUUGGCGCAGGAAAUGACGAAAUUUGAGGCUGAUAAGGCUAGAUAGAAGGCAAAAGCUGCAGCUGCUGAGAGAGCAUUUCAAGCUAAUGAGAGGGAAAGAUAGCUACUUAGGCAAGAAAAGGAACAUGUUAGAGAAGAAAGAAUGGCUCAACGAGAUCGUGACAUUAUGAACACGCCUUUA
rnacentral:lncRNA from 1 species